rnacentral:rRNA from 1 species
UGCAGUCGAACGGAAAGGCCCUGCUUUUGUGGGGUGCUCGAGUGGCGAACGGGUGAGUAACACGUGAGUAACCUGCCCUUGACUUUGGGAUAACUUCAGGAAACUGGGGCUAAUACCGGAUAGGAGCUCCUGCUGCAUGGUGGGGGUUGGAAAGUUUCGGCGGUUGGGGAUGGACUCGCGGCUUAUCAGCUUGUUGGUGGGGUAGUGGCUUACCAAGGCUUUGACGGGUAGCCGGCCUGAGAGGGUGACCGGCCACAUUGGGACUGAGAUACGGCCCAGACUCCUACGGGAGGCAGCAGUGGGGAAUAUUGCACAAUGGGCGGAAGCCUGAUGCAGCAACGCCGCGUGCGGGAUGACGGCCUUCGGGUUGUAAACCGCUUUCGCCUGUGACGAAGCGUGAGUGACGGUAAUGGGUAAAGAAGCACCGGCUAACUACGUGCCAGCAGCCGCGGUGAUACGUAGGGUGCGAGCGUUGUCCGGAUUUAUUGGGCGUAAAGGGCUCGUAGGUGGUUGAUCGCGUCGGAAGUGUAAUCUUGGGGCUUAACCCUGAGCGUGCUUUCGAUACGGGUUGACUUGAGGAAGGUAGGGGAGAAUGGAAUUCCUGGUGGAGCGGUGGAAUGCGCAGAUAUCAGGAGGAACACCAGUGGCGAAGGCGGUUCUCUGGGCCUUUCCUGACGCUGAGGAGCGAAAGCGUGGGGAGCGAACAGGCUUAGAUACCCUGGUAGUCCACGCUGUAAACGGUGGGUACUAGGUGUGGGGUCCAUUCCACGGGUUCCGUGCCGUAGCUAACGC